rnacentral:rRNA from 1 species
UACGUGGGGGGCAAGCGUUGUUCGGAAUUACUGGGCGUAAAGGGCUCGUAGGUGGCCCACCGAGUCAGCCGUGAAAUCCCCAGGCUCAACUUGGGAACUGCGUCUGAUACUGGAUGGCUUGAAUCCGGGAGAGGGAUGCGGAAUUCCAGGUGUAGCGGUGAAAUGCGUAGAUAUCUGGAGGAACACCGGUGGCGAAGGCGGCAUCCUGGACCGGUAUUGACGCUGAGGCGCGAAAGCCAGGGGAGCAAACGGG